rnacentral:tRNA from 1 species
GGGGAUAUAGCUCAGUGGUAGAGCACUUACCUAGCAUGCACGAGGUCCUGGGUUUGAACCCCAGUACCA